rnacentral:rRNA from 1 species
GCCUGUGAAACGAAUCUAAGUUCUUCCUUAAUUUCCCCUUACGGACAUCCACUAAACCUUCACGUAGAAAAUUAAGAGAAAUUUAAAGGAGGUACAGCUCCUUUAAAAAAGAAUACAAUCUCCCCUAGCGGAUAACUUCCAUCAACACUCAUCCACAGAAUUGUGGGCCUUCAAGCAGCCACCAACAAAGAAUGCGUCAAAGCUCUACAACUUAAAAAUACAAAGAUAAUUUGACUCCCUUAUCUGUAACAGGCUAACCUAUAAUAAUAGGAGAAUUAAUGCUAGAAUGAGUAACUAGGGCCUCCCCUCUCAAGCGCAGACUUACAUUUACACAUUAUUAACAGACCCCUACAAAUACUGCAAUUUUAACAAGACCGAGUAUUAACCACCCCUGUUAACCCAACUCAGGAGCGCCUACUAGAAAGAUUAAAAUCUGCAAAAGGAACUAGGCAAACCCGGGGCCCGACUGUUUACCAAAAACAUAGCCUUCAGCUGUCCAAGUAUUGAAGGUGAUGCCUGCCCAGUGACAUUAUGUUUAACGGCCGCGGUAUCCUA